rnacentral:lncRNA from 1 species
AACCUUUGCUCUCAUGUGUUUGUCAAUUAGAAUGUUGCUGCUUUUCAAAUCUCUAUGAAUGAUAGCUGGAACACAGCCUGUGUGAAGGUAUUCGAUUCCUGAACAACCACGAGAAAGACCAUGUAUAAAUUUAAUAUACCAAGGAAGAAGCACUUUUUGCUGCUGCUUAAAUUGAAAAGAAGUAAUAACUAACAAGAACUUUCUAGCGUAUUAGACCUUUUGCAGCAUCUUCAGCAAUCUCAAGGCGCUUGAUCCAAUUGAUACUCUGUUUGUGUGUUAAUGGGCCUACGAACAAUUCAAAACUCGUUAGCCGUCCAAAUUUCAAUAGAUUCCAUCAACAAGAAGCAAACUUACCAUAAAGAUGUUCCUUGAGAGUUCCAUUAUGCAUGAACUCGUAGAUCAGCAUACUUGUUCCAUCCUCUUGGCAAUACCCAAGAAACUGUACCAGGUUUCUGUGAUGUAUCCUUGAAAGAAGAGUUACCUAGAUGAUAUUGAAGCAUGUGUCAGUCCACACAGUUCCAAGUUUUGAUGUCCAACAGUAAUACAUCAACCCAAAGUGACAGGAUAGGACAACAAUUACGAAAACCAAAUUUCUUUUAUGAAUGCUAUUCAACACUAGAAGGGAACAUCGCGGAAAUUUUAAAAAGAUCCGUUUUUUCCAUUUAGUUUCCAGAAAAGUUGCAAAAUCACAAUAUUAUCUGAUUUACGGCUAAAUAUUUCUUCCUAAAUUGGUAGAGGUUUCCAACCAGUCAUUGGUCACUAGUUUACAUUUCAAAAUUCAUAUGCAAGGAGAAUUUAAUGAAUUUUUCGACCCCAAGAAAAAGAAGAAUCAUCAACAGUUCAAUAAAUAGAAAGAUACAAACAGGCACACAGUACCAAACAGACAGGGUUGAGCAUCCUAAAAGAAAGAAAAAGCAAAAUGAAAUGUAAAAAAAUGUAAAAGAUGUCCAAUAAUACAAAAACUAACCUCAUUUGAAAAUUCUCGCUUUCCCUGGUAGGAAUUACUCGUUAGAACUUUGACCGCAAUUUCCUUUUCAUCCUUCAUUUUACCGUAGUAAACAACUCCAAAACCUCCCGAACCUAUUUUUCUUCUCAAACUUUCUGGUAGCCUCUUCAAUUUCAGAGUAAGAGAAGCAGUGUGCAGAUUCAUUAGGAGCAUCACUCUUAGAAGAAUGUAUUCCUUGCGCAAGGUUGAUUCCCAAGUUGGUCUGUAGCGAGUUAGAAUAAUAUCAUUGCAUUCAAGCAAACUGAAAAUUAGGAGAAACAAAAACCAUGUAAACCUCAAAUUUGUUUCAGACUCAUACCAUGCUUGUAAACUUUCUUCCUUCGCUUGCGUAAAAGUACGCAAGAUACAAUAGUAGCUAUGACCAACACAGCAGCCCCAACUGAUGUACCAAUAAUAAUGUUAUUGCGGCUCCCGCUUGUUUUCCCUUUCCGCAGAUUAACAUUUCCAGCGUAGCUGUCAGGAGACAACAUAGAAGAGCGAAGAUAAAUACAUUGGCGUAAGUCCUAGACAAGGCCCCGAUGACUAGAAUAGAGAGAGCGAGAGAUUUGAUGAAUCAAGAUAAAGAUGUACUCGGGUAUACUAUAACAAUAUACAGGAUGAAGGAUAUAAUUUAAGACGUGUACUUACUCUAGGACACACCGAUUUUUACUAUAAAUGAAGCAGAUAAAUAUAAGGCAAGGUUUACACUGAUUUUAAGCUCUAGAAUUUACUUAUGAUUUUGUUCUUAUGCUCUUCAGUUUUAUCUGCAAAAAGUGAUACUCACUUCAUAUUAACCACUUUAUCGAGAAGACUUGAUGGCACAGUUCCGGUUAACAUAUUAUUUUGCACAUACCUGCAACAUCAGAUUCGCCAAGAUUAAGAUCUUAUAUAAAAAACAGCAUGUCAGACAUUGAUUAGAAAAAAAUGAAAAAUAAAAACAAAAUGAGCAGCAUAAAAAAUUUCACGGGGUUACUUAUUUUCCAAGUUCUGAAUCAUAAUAAUCGUCUAUUUUCUUUUUUCUCAAAUAGACACAGAAUGUUUGGUGCAAUGUAUCUUAGACUAUCUUUACAUAUGCAAAUGUACAACUACAAAAUUACCGUUAGACAACACAUCUGAAAACUUAAACGAUUAGGGAAUGACACAAAAUGUAGUUCCUGCUAACAUCUUAUUUCAUGUGUAGCCUCUUGUCCAUAGAGAUGCAGAUAGAGAGAGGUAUAACUUAUCAGACAUGCUCCUUGCAACAAAAAAUAAGAAGAAACUGGGGAACGGAGGUCCUGAAUCCAGGUAUCAAGCAACCUGAACUUCAAUACCAUGUUAGACAACUACUAGAGCCAUAAACUUAAGUUGUUAAGAAUGGGACGGCAAUAUAUAACAUUGAUUACAACACUGGCACCCACUCAUUGAAGGUCUUUUAAGCAGAAAGAACAACUGCCACAGUCUCACACACAUUUUUUUCCUUCAAUUUAAAGUAAACUACAUGUGAGUCCCGGAAAACUUACAGUUCCUUCAAACUUGGUAGGUUCGUGAAAGAGGAGAGUCCGCCCGUCAACUGAUUGUUCUCAAGAUGACUGUAUAAUGCAAAGCUAUUUUAUUAGUAUUAGCUCUUUAAAAAGCAUUGUUAGAAUAAGUGAGAUCACUUACAUGAUCUUCAAGUCCACACAUCCAGUGAAAUCAGGUAUUGUACCAGUCAGUGAGUUCCCGUCAAGCCAUCUGUAAUUGGAACACAAAUAUUAACGACACUAAAAAGAACAAGUUUUAUAAAACUAAAUUUGAAAACACUCAAUACCAUUCAGAAAUACAAGAAUGCAAAAUGAAACUUACAACUCUUGUAAACUGCUCAACUUUGUCAAGUCUGAAGGGAUAUUCCCAGUAAUAUUCUUACUAGAUAAUUUUCUGCCAAGCAAAGGGAUACAAAAGCACUUGUCAGCUCCGAACUACAUACCUAUGCAGAAGCAGUAGUAAUUCAUACAAUAACUUUAACUAGAAAAAUAUAAGCUAUACAUUUGAACUACUCUUGGUUGUGGAUCUGAGUUACACUCCACCCAAGACCAUGGAACUGGGAGGCAUGGAUCACCGCCUUCCAAAUUCCAAUCUGACGAUGAGUAGUGUGAAACAAAACUAGAAAUAACAGCUCCUGAAAAUCAUGCAAACCAAGUAUGACAUAUAACAGGAAAGAUUCAAAAGAUUUUUUGUCAGGGAAUGAUGAACAAGGGCAUGCGCUUAAUAGCGAUAAAUCGUGCAAAAUUAGCAGUAAACAUCAUAGCAUCAAGGGAGAAGAGAAGCCAUAAGCCAUCCAGAUACUACUGGGGAACUUACUAUCUUGAGAACCAUCAUUUAUUUCCAGAUAUUUAUUUAUCUCCAUUGCAUUCAAGAGCGGUCCCCUGGAAGAAUCGGCUGUUUUGGCAAAUUUAAAUGAUAAUACAAACGGAAGGGAUAAGUUUGUAAACCCUGGUUCAUAGAGACGAUAUUUUCCGUGAGCGUUUUCUUCAAUAUUAACAACAGGUAUGCUGAGUUCAGUAUUUCCUGGAAGUACUAGCCUAAACUUUCUAGACUCAUCUUCAGCUAAAUCUUCAAUUUCUGCUAAGUAGGUGUAUGCCCAUCCAAAACCAGGAAAACCAUCCAGGUUCAGCCGGUAAGUCAGAGUUCCAUUUGUGCCAACUACAGCUGUCUGCAUAACUUUUUCGGGUGGCCUGUCAUCCCCAUUAAUGUCAAUUGGCAACUUGGUUGACACUUUUUUGGUUCCAGCAGCAAUGUCGACGAGGUAAUUCGCUUUCUUGACAGAGUCUGAUGUCCAUAUUCUAUCGAAAGGGUCAUCAGGAUACCUGAAAUUAGAAUACAUAUCCUUCAAAACCACAAAUCUUUGUCAAAGCAAAAAAGAGUUCAGACUACAAACUUCCUAGCUCAGAUAUUCUAAAUCAGGGAAUAUUACAAAGUUUGAUCUCACAGUAGUUUGUUACAUACAUUUGGACCAAUACCUACUUCAAGAAGUAAGCUGUGAAGCCCUCCUAAGCAGAUAAACGUAGCAUACCUGACUGGUGCUUCAUCAUCUGCACCGAAAUUAAUCCUGGCAGAGACACUGAGAUAGAACUGUUGCUCAAACUCAGAAUAGUACAUGGAACCAUUGAAUUGUCGAAGCUCAAGAGUGGAUAUAAAAGGUUGUCCAGUCGUAGCAUUGGAUAAACAUACACUGACAGUAGGACUCGUCGCCAGAAAUAUAAGCUCCCGCAUCUCUAUCGUAUUGGCAUCCGAAAUUACAAUCGAAGACCAAUGGGUUGCCCCAACAGAAAUGUCAAAUUUGGGAUAAACGUUAUUGCUGUCAAAGUUCCCAUACAAGAAUGUCGCUCUUAGAAGGUACCUAGUCCUACUUGUGACAUUCAAUGUGUAACAAUAUUUUCUCAAAUCCGCCGGAAAAUGCCUCAACGUCGAGUACUGCUUCCUGGUCUUAUUGGAAACAGCUAUAGAGGACGUCUCGCCGAAAUUGAGCCGAUCAGGAGUCCACUCCACACCCAGAUCAUCAGUGAAAAUUUCUUUACCUCCACAAUCCAAACUCACAAACCCUGCUUCAAAUUACACAAGGAAGGAACUUUAUACAAGGAAUUUGGACUAACUGAGUAAAACUAAAACAUGGGUUUAAUAGAAAAAAAAAAUUAGAAACUUGUAAUCAAUGUCUGAAUUCAUUCAAACUUAAGCUAAUUUUUCACUUCUAAAGUAAUUUCCAGACAAUCUAAGAACAAGGUUUUUCUAAUAACUAAGAAAACAAGCUAAAAUUGUACUAAAAAUACUAAAAAUCCAUGCUCUUAUUGGGAUUAAAUCAGUUCAAUAAAGAAAACACUGCAAAAUAAAAAAAAAAAAAAAAAUCAUGCAAGUAAAGUAUAAAGAUUCAAAAGAGAGAGAAGGGUACCUGGAUUUUGAGCAGAGGAAGGGACGAUGAGGAGGAGGAGGAGAGAGAGAAGGAGAAGGAGAAGGGAAACCUCCAUGGUGGUGUGAAAAGUUGGAAGAGAGAUGGAGAGACCAUAAAAAUUGACUCCGAGGAAAAACUGAAAAAUGGUAGUGAGUGUGAGUACGGAGAGAUAAAGUUGCAAACGCACCGAGGGGAUUAAAAUAAUUUGAAAUUAAAGACGGAAAUGUGAAUCCAACGAACAAACCCGAAUAAUGGAAAAUAAAAUAUACUGACAACAACAGAAGUUAAAGAUAAUGGUGGAUGAGAUGAGAGAGACAGAUUUGGAGGAAGAAGAAGUCUCUGACGGGAAAUGAAUGGGGUCCAAGGUUUUUCCACAUGGGGAACGGCGAAUGGUUGGCCACGUGGCGCCCAGCAGAGGAGAAUUAAAGUGCUUGCGACUUGCGACUUGCGACUUGCAACUACCGACUACGGGCUAAAGACGGCCCGACUUGGUAUGGGACGAAAAUGUCAUAAUAAUUUCGUAAUCACAAAAAUUAAUUAUACUUAUAAUCAUAAAUUAAUUAUUGCAGAUUAUUUAUAAUCUUACUCACUGUGUAAUGAAUUCUUCAUCGGUUAGUGGUUAUAUCAAUCUUUGUCAAUACCGAAAAUAUAUUCAUUCAAUUGACACAUUAUAAUAUAAGAUAAGAUACUAAUUUCUUCAUUAUAAUAUAAUAGAUACAUUGAUGAUGUUGCGAUGCAGGCCAAGGACUAAAGGCGUUAUUACAUAAAAUUACUAACACACUAAAGCAGUUAUUACAUAAAAUUACUAAUAGCUGAGAUUUAAGUUUUAUAAUAUAAUACAUGCAUUUUUAGAGUUAUAAUGAUGUAUCUAGCUUUAAAUUUUGUGGCUUAUGGAAUUCCUAGAUUAAUAACAGUUUAUGAAAUCAUUUAGUUUUUUAGGAGCUAUAUUGUAACCCUUUAUUUGUAUGUCUUUUCAUAUUUUUCACUUUAAGUUUUAAGCACCUAUAAAUACUUGUAUUUGUAAAGAAGAAGGGGAGAAGUUGUUUUGAAUUAUCAUAUUGAUAUUAGAGUUGUAAACUCGUUUUUAUGUGCAUUUCUCUUGUUUAAGAGUCUGCAUCUUUGUUCUUUCUAGUGUCUAUAUUUGUAGGCUGGUAUUAGAACAAAAGUUUAUAGGGUUUUCAAGCCUUUCCUCCAUUCUUUUUAUCCUAAUUUUCUGUUCUUAUUUCAUUUUUUUUUUCGUUUCUCUGUUGCGCCCUGCAUCAUGUUGGCUGAUGUUUGAUCUCUCCCAUAAGCACCAUUGAUCUUUCCCACAAAAUGCAUUUUUUUAAUUCUCAAGGUAAUAGAUUCGGUGUGUGUGUGUGUGUGUGUAUAUAUAUAUAAAUACAAUAGUGUAUUUAUUAUAGAUAAAUUAUAUUAUAUAUAAUAUGUAUUAUUUGGGUCGGAUUCGGAAAUAUAUACGGAUCAAGGACUCCUAUAGCCAUAUCUAAAACCAUAACCGAAUAAUAUUUCUGGUUUUUUUUCAUAUCUAUAAUAUAACCGAAUUCUUAUCCCCAAAUUCGUACCAUUCGAACAAUUAUUCACGGUUAUCAGGUUUAACGGUUUGAAUUAUCAUCUCUACUUGCGACUUGCGACAUGCGACUUGCGAUUAUGAUUCUACAGUCAAUUUGAAUUAUCAAGUAAUAUUGAAGGAUCUUAAAAGUAAUGAAAAUAUCAAAAGAGACGGUUCAAAAUGGAAAUAUAAUUAGCAUUUCUCUUUAUAUUUUAGUUAAGCUUGUAAUCACUAGCCGUGACAUAAGGUAUGAAUAUAGUAUGUGAGUAAUUUUAUAAUCAUUUUUUUUCUUUGUACAAAUUAAACAUUGUAAAUUACGAAAAAAAGAGUGUAGAGAGUACAUUUGCUCUAGUCAGAGAAGCUUAAGCCUAAUUAUACUACCAUUUGAAAAUUAUCACCCCGAAAAAGAAAUUCAAUAGUUAAAAUUAAAGUAUCAUUCAAUUAUCAUCGGUUUUCUUUUCAAGCUUUACGUUCAUCUUGUUUCAAUCAUAAAUUUUGAUACCAAGGACCGUCAUUGGUUGAAUAACCACUCGAACGUCCUUGAUCAACUAAUCAAAUGUGGUGAACUGGUUUUACUUUGAUCCAAAUAUUGUUUGACCUUGCAUCUACUUUUGAACUUUGCUAAUAGAUGACAAGAAUAAAUCAAAUCAAAUGCAAGACAAAUGUUUCGGUCCUAUUGCCGUGGAGUAAGAAGACAUGGUCUUGAAUUCUUGAUGUUCAAAAUGGCAUUAAUUUCCACAUUUUAUUUGGUGGUUUCAAGGCUCCCACGAACGCCCAACUCCUUGUGGCUUCGUGUUGCUUGGGACGACGGCUUGACCAGAUGGUUGACUAUGUUUUGAAUGAGAGGGCAUUGAUUUUCGCUGUCAAGACUUGACUUGUUAUAUAAAAAACGAAGAAAGAUUUGUCGUUUUACACCUUUUUUAUUUGCUUAAAUUGAAGGCUCCUAUGAAUCAUGCAUUGUUUAUGCUUAUUAUUUGAUAUGGCAAACAGAUCGUUUUUAUCGUUUUUAUGUCAUGUUUGUUAUUUUGACGAGUCGUGAUUGUGGAGCCUAAAAGAAUUCUAAAAAUUCUAGAGGCGAUAUGUAAAUUCUAGAGACAAUACGUAAAUUUUUAUCUAAAAUUACGAUAGGAGAUGAAAAAAAAAAACAUAUUUGUACGUCGUGUAUGGCAACCGAAUUACUAUCGAGCAGUUGGCCGGGAGAUAGACUCAUCGAUCGACAAGAAAUUGUCAUUUCUGCCAAGAUCCAGGGAACCUGUGUUCAAGGAAGAAUGGAUUGAAUUCUUUGAUACAUCUGAGGAACCUUCUCUUACUGCUGCAGCAUCCCUUUCCACUGAGAUUGCAUCUUGGAUUUCCUUGAGAACUUCUGAAAUGGACGGCCUCAUAAAUCCGUGCGCUAGAACACACAUUAGGGCUUUUUCGGCUAUCUUCCACAUUGACUGGAUGUCGUAUUCGCCAUCCAGCGAGGGGUCGAUUAUUCCUUGAAUGUUGCCAUUCUCGAUGUGUAAUUUUGCCUGUGACAACCAAUUUCACAGGUAAGAAAGGGAGCAACUCACAAUGAUGGUAAUUCUAGGAUUAUGCCAAUGUUUUACUUUCAGUAUUAGUACUGAUCAAAAGUUUACGGCAAGUGAUCAAAAAUUUCGAACACUUCAUUGCAAUGCAAAGCAAACUACACUUACCCAUUGCACUAUAUUACGGCAGUUAACACCAAAGUUUUCAUUAGAAAUCGCUUCUUGACCUGAUAUCAGCUCAAGAAGAAUGACACCGAAACUAUAAACGUCACUCUUGUCUGUCAACUGCUGGGAGAUGUAAUACCUGAACACCAAUGAGAACAAAGAAGUCAUUUUAACACUCAGAAAUAUGGGGUAAAAAAUGAAAUUGUUAAAACAGUGCUUAUAACUAUUGUGCCGUCACUACAAAACCUAUCUCCUAAAGCGUUGACAGCUUAUAACACAAAUUAAUUACUAACUGGAGCACUCUACCAAAGCCAUUCAGCACUUAACAAUCACAUGACAACAAAGCAGUAACAUAUUUAUUAUUUAACUUAUCUCAAUGAUGGCAGAUUUGAUCUCAACGAAAAACAUAAACUUUUACGGAAAAGAAGGCCUUACUCGGGAUCCAGAUACCCUACAGUGCCCCGAACUUUGCUUGACACAUGGGAUGCUCCUUCUACUUCAAGUUUGGAAAGACCAAAAUCUGAAACCUUUGCUCUCAUGUGUUUGUCAAUUAGAAUGUUGCUGCUUUUCAAAUCUCUAUGAAUGAUAGCUGGAACACAGCCGGUGUGAAGGUAUUCGAUUCCUGAAUAACCACGAGAAAGACCAUGUAUAAAUUUAAUAUACUAAGGAAGAAGCACUUUUUGCUCCUGCUUAAAUUGAAAAGAAGUAAUAACUAACAAGAACUUUC